rnacentral:rRNA from 1 species
GACGAACGCUGGCGGCGUGCCUAAUACAUGCAAGUCGAACGCAGUGGGGACGGGUGAGUAACACGUGGGUAACCUCCCAUCAGAGGGGAUAACACUUGGAAACAGGUGCUAAACCGAUACUGAUGGAUGGACCCGCGGUGCAUUAGCUAGUUGGUGAGGGAACGGCUGACCAAGGCCACGAUGCAUAGCUGGCCGGAGAGGGUGAUCGGCCACACUGGGACUGAGACACGGCCCAGACUCCUACGGGAGGCAGCAGUAGGUAAUCUUGGGCAAUGGGCGAAAGUCUGACCGAGCCACGCCGCGUGAGUGAAGAAGGUUUUCGGUUCGUAAAGCUCUGUUGUUAGAGAAGCGGUAUCUAACCAGAAAGCCCCGGCUAACUACGUGCCAGCAGCCGCGGUAAUUC